CGAUGCUGAUGAAGAGCCCCAGACGAAUCCCAGGACUGGAGCAGUUGCUGCACGUGUUGAAGGAUUUGUCCCAGGCUUCCUUGAUCUCCUUUCAAAUGCAGCCAACUCAGCUGCUGGAGUAAUCAAUGGCAUCGUUGAUGCUGUAGCUGGAAAAGCUAGAGCGGAUCAUGGCUCUACAAAUACAACUUCAAGUCGCAGGAACUGAAUUGUUAUCGAUACAAGCAACGAUAAUACAAAACCUCCCCUCUGAACACUUCAAAUAGUCAUAUUGUAAAGGGCGGUGAAAGAUGAAGGUCUUGGCAUUCAGAG